GUACGAAAACCACUCACCACACCAAUGUAAAACCACUUCCUCUCUCCAUCUCUCUCUCUAAAAUCAAAGUCACGGACACCAUGGCAACCUCAUCAACACCAUCUACAACAAAAAGUCAUAGAUGAACCCUCUGUGUGUACCAUGUGCUUGGUUACUUGUACCGUGAUGACGAUCAAGACUUGUUAUGGCUCCGGCGAUCUUGUUAAGCGACGGUGACUGAGGUUCCUGUCGAUCGAACUUCUCCAUCGCCGUUUUCCGGCCAAAUGACAUUUUUUUUUCAAGUCACAAAACCAAAACCCAUGGCGGUAGUACCGGCUUUGGGAGAGAAAGAUAGAGAGAGGCAGAGGAAAACAGGAGAGAGUUUCGGCGAUUAUUGCUGAUGUUCAGACGGGUGCGGUGGGGUUAUAUAAGGUGUGACGGUGGUAAACGACGGAGAAAACUGGUUGGAGGAGACACGUCCGUUUGGUUGUUAACUGUAAAUUCAUAACAGUAUUUGAAUGAUUACGUUGUUCCAUUACGGUGUGUCCCCACCGAUUACGUUUUGAGGAUAAAAUUAAAAGGUGUGUAUUUUAUUAGGGAUUACCACCGAUUAACUGUAAUUUCAAGACGGUUUUUGAAUCUUUAUGUCGUUCCACUACAACGGUGUGUUGUUUGAGAAUAAAUGGUAUUUUUUUUAGGAUUGCCAUUGAAAAUAAAAUUUGAGUAGUAACCGUCGUUAAAUUAAGAAUUAAGAAAUAUAUUAAUUCAGAACGUGAGUUUCUUAAACGGUGUGUCAAACGGAUGCCUUUGAAUGAAAGGAUGCAACUAUGUUUAAAGGCACCCUAAGUUGCUAUUUGUAUAAGAGAUUUGAAUAUAAUGUUUUAGGGAGAGAAAGAUAGAGAGAGGCAGAGGAAAACAGGAGAGAGUUUCGGCGAUUAUUGCUGAUGUUCAGACGGGUGCGGUGGGGUUAUAUAAGGUGUGACGGUGGUAAACGACGGAGAAAACUGGUUGGAGGAGACACGUCCGUUUGGUUGUUAACUGUAAAUUCAUAACAGUAUUUGAAUGAUUACGUUGUUCCAUUACGGUGUGUCCCCACCGAUUACGUUUUGAGGAUAAAAUUAAAAGGUGUGUAUUUUAUUAGGGAUUACCACCGAUUAACUGUAAUUUCAAGACGGUUUUUGAAUCUUUAUGUCGUUCCACUACAACGGUGUGUUGUUU
rnacentral:lncRNA from 1 species